rnacentral:misc_RNA from 1 species
GGAAAUAAAAGUCGUAACAAGGUUUCCGUAGGUGAACCUGCGGAAGGAUCAUUCAUAAUAAGUGUUUUAUGGCACUUUUUUAAAUCCAUAUCCACCUUGUGUGCAAUGUCAGGGUUGAUUUUUCCCUCGAGAGGAUCAGCCCCAAACAUCAACUAUAUCUCAACUCUUUGUCUGAAAAAUAUUAUGAAUAAAACAAUUCAAAAUACAACUUUCAACAACGGAUCUCUUGGCUCUC